UCAACUUCCGGUUUUCCAGCUGUAAAACUUGUCUGCUAGUGCUUGUGCGAGGCUUCCUACUUUCAUUAUAAUUUUCCUAUUCAUGCAAGCACCAUGGUUGAGUUUGGCUCUGGUCCAGUCAAAGAGAAUAUUGAUAAUACCGUUUUCAUAAUUCCUGGCAUAAUUAUAAUCGCUUUAGUAGGAUUUUUCUCGUACAAAUUGUUCUCAAGUUUACGAGAGAAACAACGGCUGAAGGAAGAGAAGAAGAAAUUGAAGCUGCAGAGGAAAGAAAAAGACAAUGUACAGAAAACGAAGAAGAAAAAAUAAGGAGUGGUAGGAUUAUUUUUUGUACCAUUUUUCUACACAAUGUUUCUGAAAGUCUUUGUUCAAUGUGUGUGUGCUCUACAUACUGAACAUUAACGAGAAGGGUUGUCUUCGUCAUCGAGUGUGGAAAUUCAGGUUAGGUGACGGAAAUAGCAUCUUAGUCUUUCAGGAUUUCAGGAGCAUAUAUAUAUAUUAGACACUUGAUCAGAAACCCUUCCAACAGUUGAAGUACAAAUGUUUCCCUUUGCUAAAAGUUUGAUGAUUUUUUAAUUAUUGUUAUAUGAAUACAGAGAACUGCUCCUUGCCAGAUUCUUUUUUAUGUUAUGUUUGUUUUCCACAUUAUGAAAGCACAAGAAGUUUUAAGUUUCUUUGCUGAGUAGUUGGAAGAGCUUCACUAUUGCGUAUGUUUGUCUUGUCAACAGCCAUUUUUCUUUUAAGACCAAAUAUGUCCUUUUUUAGAAACGAAUAUCAUUAUUAUAUUUGAUCGAUAAUUGUCCAGUUUGUUGUCUUUUUGGUUACAGUACAUGAUUGAGAAACUGAAUAAAUGUGCUUUUGAGUUUGACAUGAAAUUGACGUAUAUCGAAAACCAUCGUUGAGAGUUUGACAUGAAAUUGACAUAUAUUGAAAACCAUCGUUGAGAGUUUUGCCAUUGUCAUCGACACAUCAAAAGAAAUUUUAUUUGUACGAAUGAUUUUUGUGGUAGCCUUUUUAUUUUUAAAAAAAGUUCUUUCACUGAGAAACUAAAAGAACAUUGUAUCACUUGAGGUUUGUCUAUCAAAGUCUUUUUUAAAAAAUUAUUUGCAUUGUUGUUAAGUAAUCAGAACCCUUUGCAUGAAAAUUUUUUUGUCUUUUUUUUUUCACUACUUCACUGGGCGCUCCUGUCAGUUUGACUGUCAGUCUCAUCCUGCCUGACAGUGCAGCAAGUGGAUGCGUCUGAGGCCGUAUGCUGUGUUCAUGUAAAAAGAAGAAAAAAAGGAACUUACUGAUGAAGAUAUAGGGCUUACAUAUUUCUGUGUGUCAUCGUGAUGAAAUCAGGUUCUCGUAAAAAUAAUGAAAUUGAUGAAAGAGACAUUUUUCACCCUGGGGAUAAUUUUUAUCGAAA